UACGGGGGGGGGCAAGCGUUUGUUCGGAAUUACUGGGCGUAAAGGGCUCGUAGGCGCCAACUAAGUCAUACGUGAAAUCCCUCGGCUUAACCGGGGAACUGCGUCUGAUACUGGAUGGCUUGAGUUCGGGAGAGGGAUGCGGAAUUCCAGGUGUAGCGGUGAAAUGCGUAGAUAUCUGGAGGAACACCGGUGGCGAAGGCGGCAUCCUGGACCGAUACUGACGCUGAGGAGCGAAAGCCAGGGGAGCAAACGGG
rnacentral:rRNA from 1 species